GGAUUAGAUACCCUGGUAGUCCACGCCCUAAACGAUGUCAACUAGCUGUUGGGGCCUUCGGGCCUUGGUAGCGCAGCUAACGCGUGAAGUUGACCGCCUGGGGAGUACGGUCGCAAGAUUAAAACUCAAAGGAAUUGACGGGGACCCGCACAAGCGGUGGAUGAUGUGGAUUAAUUCGAUGCAACGCGAAAAACCUUACCUACCCUUGACAUGUCUGGAAUGCCGAAGAGAUUUGGCAGUGCUCGCAAGAGAACCGGAACACAGGUGCUGCAUGGCUGUCGUCAGCUCGUGUCG
rnacentral:rRNA from 1 species